UCCAGACUCCUACGGGAGGCAGCAGUGAGGAAUAUUGGUCAAUGGUCGGGAGACUGAACCAGCCAAGCCGCGUGAGGGAGGAAGGUACAGAGUAUCGUAAACCUCUUUUGUCAGGGAACAAAGGCGGGGACGUGUCCCCGGAUGAGUGUACCUGAAGAAAAAGCAUCGGCUAACUCCGUGCCAGCAGCCGCGGUAAUACGGAGGAUGCGAGCGUUAUCCGGAUUUAUUGGGUUUAAAGGGUGCGCAGGCGGUCUGUUAAGUCAGCGGUCAAAGCCCGGGGCUCAACCCCGGUCCGCCGUUGAAACUGGCAGUCUCGAGUUGGAGAGAAGUAUGCGGAAUGCGCGGUGUAGCGGUGAAAUGCAUAGAUAUCGCGCAGAACUCCGAUUGCGAAGGCAGCAUGCCGGCUCCACACUGACGCUGAGGCACGAAAGCGUGGGUAUCGAACAGGGUUAGAUACCCGGGUAAA
rnacentral:rRNA from 1 species